rnacentral:rRNA from 1 species
GACGAACGCUGGCGGCGUGCCUAAUACAUGCAAGUCGAGCGAAGCGGCGGAUGGGUGAGUAACGCGUGGGUAACCUGGCCUUAAGUCUGGGAUACACUAUGGAAACAGAUGCUAAUACCGGAUACUAAAGGAUGGACCUGCGAUGCAUUAGCUAUUUGGUAAGUUAACGGAUUACCAAGGCGAUGAUGCAUAGCCGAGUUGAGGGACUGAUCGGCCACAUUGUGACUUAGCCACUGCCCAAACUCCUACGGGAGGCAGCAGUAGGGAAUCUUCCACAAUGGACGCAAGUCUGAUAGAGCAACGCCGCGUGAGUGAAGAAGGUUUUCGGAUCGUAAAGCUCUGUUGUUGGUGAAGCGGUAAUCAACCAGAAAGUCCCGGCUAACUACGUGCCAGCAGCCGCGGUAAUUC